rnacentral:lncRNA from 1 species
CAAAAAGCAAGUUUAAGAAAAAAAGUGAAAAUGGAAUGGUUCAGUGGUUGAAAAGCAGCUGUAAGCUUGCCUAAAAAUGUGAAAUAUGCUAAAAGUAGAAGCCAAAAAUCCUUCCUUUUUAGGACCCUCCCAAAUGCCUGGAAUUUGUUAGCUUUCCUGAGUGUGAGAAGAGAAUUUCAGUCAUAAAGUCACCUUUGAUAUGUAAAGACCUAAUGCCUCCUAAAUUAUCUCAGAUUUCUAGCUUAGAGUUCCCCCAGGUUUAGGAUUCUUAAUCUCUAAUGCCACCAAUAAAAACAAGACUUGUCGUUCAUGUUGUAGGACACUAAAAAAAAGGUAUUAUCUCUAUCUGUGUGAUCAAAAAAUUAUCCUAAACUCAGCAGAGUUUCUGGAUGACAUCUAAUCCAUAAUGAAAUACACGUGUAGAAUUUGCAUUCAUGUUUAAUAUUUGCCUCAAAAUACAUAGUAAAAUUGUGAGAACUGUAAAUCCAUUCAUGGCAGAGACAUUUAAGGAAGUGCUACAGACAUGCCCUUGUUCAGCCUGAGUUGAUAAGGAAAUUUUAUUAUCUAAAUAAUGUAAAAAACCUAUAUGAGAUGUUAAUUCAGUCUUGGUUUAUGGUGAGUUUGACAACAAAAUAGCACUUCCUCUUAGGCAAUAGAAACUGGAAAGCAUUCGUACAAAUAAAAUAAGCAGUUGCUCGAUCAUUAUGGCAUAGUAUAACUGUACUUCCUAGAAUCACUCACUGCUACUGAGUGGAGCUGGGGAAUGCUAUGGGUUGCCUGAUGCAGCAAACAGGCUGGUGGCUGCCCUCAGUCUGAGCACAGAGAUGGCCAGCUCUGUGGGAAGUUUGGUACAGCUGAUUAAUAAUUGUGUAUCACUGUCAUUAUUUCAGACGGGGGCCUAUGUCAAUGCAGACUGGAAACAGAACUGCCAGAUCCUACUGAAGCAUGCAGACAGAGCUUAAGAAAAAAGGACAGUUUACAGGAAAACGUCCUGCACUUUCCAAACAGGAAUUAUAUGGAACAAAACGAAGCGUUUUCUUGACCUCUCUGCCUCUGGAAAUGGCCACUCUGGGAACAUUCCACUAUUUCACAGCCGAAAACGAACAAUACCUUUGAACCUGAGAAGCAUCAGAGUCAGCAGUCCUUGGGUGAGAGGACUCCAGCACCUGCUCCUCACCUCCCUAAAAAGGGAGAGGGGAAAAUGGAAACCAAUUACUGUGAGAUUGGAGAGUAAAAGGCCGAAGGACACACACUGACUGUGUGUCUUGCACUCGUUUGGUCAGUGGUAACACGGCUGCAGGUUGUGUCACAGUGACAAGAAACUAUUUGUAAUUUACUCGUUGUAUGAAGCUUUAACUCCACGCAUAAGAGGUCAGCUGGAACAAACAAGGCUCUCUAUCAGCAAUCUCUGAUACCAGUAAUAUUGCUUUGGACAAAAGGACCCCAGAGUGGUGUAUUCAGACAAUUAUGGCUGAAGAACAAACAACAACCUGUACAUAGAAUAUCUAAAUAUAAGUGACCUGUGUCUGAAGCAUUUCAACAAACUGCCGGCUCCUGAAAGCAUUUGAAAAUAAAUGUGUUCCUGAGUGGAUGCA